rnacentral:rRNA from 1 species
GAUGAACGCUGGCGGCGUGCCUAAUACAUGCAAGUCGAGCGAACGGACGAGAAGCUUGCUCCUCCGAUGUUAGCGGCGGACGGGUGAGUAACACGUGGAUAACCUACCUAUAAGACUGGGAUAACUUCGGGAAACCGGAGCUAAUACCGGAUAAUAUUUUGAACCGCAUGGUUCAAAAGUUAAAGACGGUCUUGCUGUCACUUAUAGAUGGAUCCGCGCUGCAUUAGCUAGUUGGUAAGGUAACGGCUUACCAAGGCAACGAUGCAUAGCCGACCUGAGAGGGUGAUCGGCCACACUGGAACUGAGGCACGGUCCAGACUCCUACGGGAGGCAGCAGUAGGGAAUCUUCCGCGAUGGGCGAGAGCCUGACGGAGCAACGCCGCGUGAGUGAUGAAGGUCUUCGGAUCGUAAAACUCUGUUAUUAGGGAAGAACAUAUGUGUAUGUAACUGUGCACAUCUUGACGGUACCUAAUCAGAAAGCCACGGCUAACUACGUG